GUUAUUUAAUAUUAUAUUAUGUGUGUGAAUUUGUGGUACCUGUUCAGGGCAUCCUUUUUGUGCUCUUCGCUCCUCGCCUCUCUGGCUGGGUAAGGCGCUGAUCUUCGAAGUAACCGCUGCUGUUGAGCACUAAACAACGCGAGGGGAAA